UACAUGGGGCGCAAACGUUGCUCGGAAUUACUGGGCGUAAAGCGCACGUAGGCGGAUACUUAAGUCAGGGGUGAAAUCCCGGGGCUCAACCCCGGAACUGCCUUUGAUACUGGGUAUCUCGAGUCCGGAAGAGGUGAGUGGAAUUCCGAGUGUAGAGGUGAAAUUCGUAGAUAUUCGGAGGAACACCAGUGGCGAAGGCGGCUCACUGGUCCGGUACUGACGCUGAGGUGCGAAAGCGUGGGGAGCAAACAGG
rnacentral:rRNA from 1 species